GACGAACGCUGGCGGCGUGCUUAACACAUGCAAGUCGAACGGAAAGGCCCUGCUUUUGUGGGGUGCUCGAGUGGCGAACGGGUGAGUAACACGUGAGUAACCUGCCCUUGACUUUGGGAUAACUUCAGGAAACUGGGGCUAAUACCGGAUAGGAGCUCCUGCUGCAUGGUGGGGGUUGGAAAGUUUCGGCGGUUGGGGAUGGACUCGCGGCUUAUCAGCUUGUUGGUGGGGUAGUGGCUUACCAAGGCUUUGACGGGCAGCCGGCCUGAGAGGGUGACCGGCCACAUUGGGACUGAGAUACGGCCCAGACUCCUACGGGAGGCAGCAGUGGGGAAUAUUGCACAAUGGGCGGAAGCCUGAUGCAGCAACGCCGCGUGCGGGAUGACGGCCUUCGGGUUGUAAACCGCUUUCGCCUGUGGCGAAGCGUGAGUGACGGUAAUGGGUAAAGAAGCACCGGCUAACUACGUG
rnacentral:rRNA from 1 species